UAGGGAAUCUUCGGCAAUGGGGGGAACCCUGACCGAGCAACGCCGCGUGAGUGAAGAAGGUUUUCGGAUCAUAAAGCUCUGUUGUUAAGGAAGAACGAGUGUGAGAAUGGAAAGUUCAUGCUGUGACGGUACUUAACCAGAAAGGGACGGCUAACUACGUGCCAGCAGCCGCGGUAAUACGUAGGUCCCGAGCGUUGUCCGGAUUUAUUGGGCGUAAAGCGAGCGCAGGCGGUUAGAAAAGUCUGAAGUGAAAGGCAGUGGCUCAACCAUUGUAGGCUUUGGAAACUGUUUAACUUGAGUGCAGAAGGGGAGAGUGGAAUUCCAUGUGUAGCGGUGAAAUGCGUAGAUAUAUGGAGGAACACCGGUGGCGAAAGCGGCUCUCUGGUCUGUAACUGACGCUGAGGCUCGAAAGCGUGGGGAGCGAACAGG
rnacentral:rRNA from 1 species